GCCAGCAUGGUGUAAUGGUUUGAGCACCAGAUUAUGAUCCUGGAGACCAGGAUUCAAUUCCCUGCUUGGCC